UACGAAGGGGGCUAGCGUUGCUCGGAAUCACUGGGCGUAAAGCGCACGUAGGCGGGUUCUUAAGUCAGGGGUGAAAUCCUGGAGCUCAACUCCAGAACUGCCUUUGAUACUGGGAAUCUCGAGUCCGGGAGAGGUGAGUGGAACUGCGAGUGUAGAGGUGAAAUUCGUAGAUAUUCGCAAGAACACCAGUGGCGAAGGCGGCUCACUGGCCCGGUACUGACGCUGAGGUGCGAAAGCCAGGGGAGCAAACGGG
rnacentral:rRNA from 1 species